rnacentral:snRNA from 1 species
GUGCUUGCUUCAGCAGCACAUAUGCUAAAACUGGAACAAUACAGAGAAGAUUAGCAUGGCCCC